GCGGAGGUGGCGAAAUUGGCAGACGCGCUGGAUUUAGGUUCCAGUGGGGCAACCCGUGCGGGUUCAAGUCCCGCCCUCCGCACCA
rnacentral:tRNA from 2 species